rnacentral:rRNA from 1 species
GACGGAGGGUGCAAGCGUUGCUCGGAAUCACUGGGCGUAAAGGGUGCGUAGGCGGCCUCGCAAGUCUGGCGUGAAAGCCCAGGGCUCAGCCCUGGAAGUGCGCUAGAAACUGCAAGGCUUGAGUGCCGGAGGGGAGAGUGGAAUUCCCGGUGUAGCGGUGAAAUGCGUAGAUAUCGGGAGGAAUACCGGUGGCGAAAGCGACUCUCUGGACGGCCACUGACGCUGAGGCACGAAAGCGUGGGGAGCAAACAGG